GUAGUCACCGUGACGUCACCCAUAGGUUUCUGAGGAGCGGUUUUGAAGCUCAAAGUGGGCGGUUCUGGCUGUCGCCAGCUUAGCAGUGCCUGACUCCGCCCAACUCCUGGCCAAUCAAAAAUGAGCCAAAGAGGCCAAAUGACACCUGGUUGCUUAAACACGCCCACCUCGCUCAAAGCUGCUAAGUUAGCUAAGGCUAACAAACUAGGCUACUUUGGCUAGCCUUGUGGCAUUGGCUGUUCCCGCUUGAUGCCACCUCCCUCACGAAACUUGAGUAAAUCACCGGUAUUGAGGUCAUGGCCGCUUGUGAUGCCUCCACCACGCCUGCUGCACACAGCAGAAACUGCACGGUGUGGAUCAUUGGUGACAGCUAUGUCUGCUGAGACCCUGGGAAGCAACCUCGGCCUGCCGGGCACCCGUGUCUGCUGGUUUGGCUGGGGUGGAAGGCUGGUGCCAAGCCAGCAAAAAUUGAUAAGGCCAGGGAAUUUGUUAACAGUGUUAUGGCUACAUUUGGUCAUAGUUUAAAUGGUAAGAGCACCCUCACAUUAGACAUGACAGUCCUAGGCUAUUUUUGAAAGAUAGAGUUCAUUUCACACCUAGGGGAAAUGACAUUGAGAUCCGAACUGUGAGUUUUGCACCCCUAGUGUUAACAUGUCAGCUUUGUAGAUUAUAUUUUGUAUGUUGUGCGUUUAGAUAAGAGUGUGUAA